UGGGUAGUCCGCACGAGCGCACCUCGCUAUCAGUUGCCAGCAUUUAGUUGGGUACUCUGAUGGAACUGCCGGUGAUAAGCCGGAGGAAGGUGGGGAUGACGUCAAGUCCUCAUGGCCCUUACGGGCUGGGCUACACACGUGCUACAAUGGCGGUGACAAUGGGUCGCGAACCUGCGAAGGUGAGCUAAUCCCUAAAAACCGUCUCAGUUCGGAUUGUACUCUGCAACUCGGGUGCAUGAAGUUGGAAUCGCUAGUAAUCGCGGAUCAGCGUGCCGCGGUGAAUACGUUCUCGGGCCUUGUACACACCGCCCGUCACACCAUGGGAGUUGGAUUUACCUUAAGCCGGUGCGCUAACUUUUGAGGCAGCCGACCACGGUAGGUUCAGCGACUGGGGUGAAGUCGUAACAAGGUAGCCGUAGGGGAACCUGCGGCUGGAUCACCUCCUUUC
rnacentral:rRNA from 1 species